CUGUGGGUGAUAAGAUUCAUAGUCGAAAGGGCAACAGCCCAGAUCGUCAGCUAAGGUCCCUAAAUGUAAGUUAAGUGGUAAAGGAUGUGGGAUUGCACAGACAACCAGGAUGUUGGCUUAGAAGCAGCCACUCAUUCAAAGAGUGCGUAAUAGCUCACUGGUCGAGUGAUCCUGCGCCGAAGAUUUCCGGGGCUAAAACUUACUACCGAAGCUACGGCAUCAGUAAUGAUGGGUAGGGGAGCUUCCCAUACGGGUUGAAGCAUGACCGUAAGGACAUGUGGACAGUAUGGGAGUGAGAAUGUUGGCAUGAGUAGCGAGAUGUGGGUGAGAAUCCCACAGGCCGUAAACCCAAGGUUUCCAGGGGAAGGUUCGUCCGCCCUGGGUUAGUCGGGACCUAAGCUGAGGCCGAAAGGCGUAGGUGAUGGACAACAGGUUGAUAUUCCUGUACUACCGAUAACCGUUUGAGAGAUGGGAUGACACAGUAGGAUAAGCUAAGCACACUGUUGGUUAUGUGUGCCCAAGCAUUGAGGCAGUCAAAGUAGGUAAAUCCGCUUUGAUAAUGCUGGGAUGUGAUGGGGAGCGAAAUUUAGUAGCGAAGUAGCUGAUUUCACACUGUCAAGAAAAGUCUCUAUCGAGGUUAAAGGUACCCGUACCGCAAACCGACACAGGUGGGUGAGGAGAGUAUCCUAAGGCCAGCGAGAGAACUGUUGUUAAGGAACUCGGCAAAAUGACCCCGUAACUUAGGGAUAAGGGGUGCCACCAUCAGGUGGCCGCAGAGAAUAGGCCCAAGCGACUGUUUACCAAAAACAUAGGUUUCUGCUAAGUCGCAAGACGAUGUAUAGGAGCUGACGCCUGCCCGGUGCUGGAAGGUUAAGGGGAUCUGUUAGAGCAAUCGAAGCAGUGAACUUAAGCCCCAGUAAACGGCGGCCGUAACUAUAACGGUCCUAAGGUAGCGAAAUUCCUUGUCGGGUAAGUUCCGACCCGCACGAAAGGCGUAACG
rnacentral:rRNA from 1 species